UUCGUGCCGUUCCGACCUCGUUUGAUACGGUUAUGGUUAACCACACGGCCCCUCGGGCCCGACCCGAGCCCAGUCAACGUUUUGACCCGAUCAAAUCGGCCCGUGACCCGAAACGACCCUACUUGGGCCCUACAACAGCCACGUAAAGUUUCGGGAUGAUCCGACGUUCUUUCAUGGGGUUACGGACAAUCCACGCCAAACAAGCGUCACGGGCCGACCGAGCCGGGCCAACGGGCCCUCGGGACCCGAAAACUGAAUUUUUUUUCAUCCAAACCCAUUAAAACACGUUACCGAGGUCUCACGCAAAAUUUCAUGCCAAUCCGACGUCGUUUGAUGGGGUUUUGAAAAAUUAUGAUUCCUCAAAAAUUUAAUGUCUGUUCCUGUCACUUAGCUUUUUGUGCAAAAUGUAUAUAUAGGGGAGGGGUGGGUGUUGAGCAGCCCAUGCCCGGGCAAGGCAUGCCAGCGCCCAAGCCAAAGGAGGCUGGUGGCGUGCGUAUAACAGCUCAAAUGCCCCAACGAUGACCGAGAACAAGCGCCCAUCUCCCCUCCUUCCCCCCCACCAAGCGCCCCUCCCCCCCCAUGUUGCCUGCCCACUCGCACAGCUACUCGUGAUUUCAUGCCCAGCGACUAGAGAAUGUGCCUCGACGACCAGCAAACCUCGAAAAUUAUGAUUCCUCGUAAAAUUAAUGUCUGUUCCUGUCACUUUACUUUUUGUGCAAAAUGUAUAUAUAGGGGAGACCAGGGGCUUGAGCAACCCCUGUGCCCAAGCAAGGGUCAGAUGGAAGCACACGAGACGCGAGGUUUAAAGCCUAUACAAGCAAGGCGUCUGUCUCCCCAAGCCCCAUUGCCUAUAAAACAAGCCCGAUGCCUUGUAAAUGCCCCACACGAUGCCUAUAAACGACAACGAUGUUUGCUAGUUAAUCGAUCGACGCCCCACACCUUGCAGCAUGUUGCCUAGUAAACAAGCCAUGCUGCCUUGGAAGCGCCCCACAUCAUGGCAUGUUGCCUAGCACGCUGCCCUUGUUUCCCGCACGGCGACCUGAAAGCGUGGCCUGACGACGUGCUUGCCUUCGAAAAUUAUGAUUCCUCAAAAAAUUAAUGUCUGUUCCUGUCACUUUACUUUUUGU
rnacentral:rRNA from 1 species